rnacentral:lncRNA from 1 species
GUCCAAUCCGACCUGAGGAGUCACAGUUGUGAGCAAAUUAGAAUUACUUGUUAUUGGUAAAUAGCCACUAUGGAGACUAAGGACCAGAAGAAACAAAGAAAGAAAAAUAGUGGACCCAAAGCUGCAAAGAAAAAGAAGCGGCAUCUGCAGGAUCUCCAGCUAGGAGACGAAGAAGAUGCCUGGAAGAGAAAUCCCAAAGCUUUUGCAUUUCAGUCUGCUGUGUGGAUGGCUCGAUCCUUUCACAGGACUCAGGAUUUGAAGACAAAAAAGCAUCAUAUUCCAGUGGUUGAUCGAACUCCACUAGAGCCCCCACCAAUAGUGGUAGUGGUGAUGGGGCCUCCAAAGUUGGAAAGAGCACUUUGAUACAAUGCCUCAUUCGGAACUUCACCCGGCAGAAGUUGACCGAGAUCAGAGGCCCUGUGAUGAUCGUGUCAGGUAAAAAGCUCCGACUCACCAUUAUUGAAUGUGGGUGUGACAUUAACAUGAUGAUUGAUCUGGCUGAAGUAGCAGAUCUGGUACUGAUGCUUAUAGAUGCCAGCUUUGGGUUUGAAAUGGAAACGUUUGAGUUUCUAAACAUCUGUCAAGUACAUGGCUUUCCUAAAAUUAUGGGAGUUCUCACCCACCUCGACUUCUUCAAACACAAUAAGCAACUGAAGAAGACAAAGAAGCGAUUAAAACACAGGUUCUGGACAGAAGUUUACCUGGUUGCCAAGCUGUUCUGCCUUUCUGGAAUGGUGCAUGGAGAAUAUCAAAACCAAGAAAUGCACAAUCUGGGCCAUUUUAUUACAGUUAUGAAGUUUAGGCCUCUCACAUGGCAGACUUCUCAUCCUUAUAUCCUGGCAGACAGGGUGGAAGAUUUGACAAACCCAGAGGAUAUCCAAACAAACAUCAGAUGUGACCAGCAGAUGUUACUUUACGGUUAUUUAAGAGGAGCGCACUUGAAAAAUAAAAGCCAAAUUCACAUGCCAGGACGAGGUGGGGCCCACCCAUGAGCUGGUCCAGAGUCUCAUCUCCACCCACUCCACCAUUGAUGCCAAGAUGGCUUCAAGUCGAGUGAUGUUGUUUUCUGAUUCCAAGCCACUUGGGUCAGAGGCUAUAGAUAAUCAAGGUGUCAGAGAUGGCUUUGGAUUCCCCGUUCUGUGUGCUGCUGUCUGGCUCCUGAACCCAGCUGUAGAGGUGUGUCAAUCCCAACUGGUGAAGUACUGAGAGGAAGCUACACAAAAGGCAGCAAAGUAUUAGUGAGUGGUGUCAUUGAGCAAACACGAAGUCGGGCUCAUCCAAGGAUGAGAUUUUGCCAGAGAAAGGACGAGCAGCAAGUCAGGGAGCUUAAGCGUCAGCCUCGAGUUUGACCAGCAACAGGGGUCGGUGUGUCCCUCUGAAUCUGAGAUCUAUGAGGCAGGAGCUGGGGACAGGAUGGCAGGAGCGCCCAUGGCUGCUGCUGUGCAGCCUGCUGAGGUGACCGUUGAAGUUGGUGAGGACCUCCACAUGCACCACAUUCGUGACCAGGAGAUGCCUGAAGCUUUGGAGUUUAGCCUUUCUGCCAAUCCAGAGGCAAGCACAAUAUUCCAGAGGAACUCUCAAACAGAUGGUGAGACAACAGUGUCUGUAGCUCUGUUUAUUAUCCUGUGGGACUUUGUUUAGGCUUCUUUGAGCUAUUCUCUUCCUUUUCUCAAUAAAAACUCAAAUAUCCCAACUUUUCAGUACCCAUCUUAUUUUUUCUUUGUACCUAUCCAGAUGGUACCUAAGUGAAGGAACCAGGUAAGUGCCUAAUUGUUUCCUUUGUUAAAGUAGCCAAAUCUCAGGACAGUUCCUAUUCAAAUAUUUGGGGGUUUCUUAUUUAAAAUCAGAAUGGAGGUUGCCACGGGAGAGGCUAUAUGGUAUUCUUAAUGGGCUGCUUUAAGUCACCUUGAUAGAAGCUGCUUAGUUUCUUCUAACUGUAAUUUGAACACAGAAGGAAAAAGAAAAAAGAGUGCUUAAAAUAAUUGUGAAAGGUGUGAAAUGUCACAGCCGGGGCUGCAGAAAAAUGGUUGUGUGUGUGUGUUUGGGGUUUCUCAAAGGAGUUUACCUAUGAGGCUCUGAUUACUUUAAAAUUCUUACUUUAACAGAAAAUGUGUCUCCAGAUUUAUGCUGGUGACUUAACAGACUUUAUUUACCUCCUUGUUCUAAAAGAGAGGUGGGGAUUGGUUCAUGGUCAACACUUUCAAAAGACAUGAAAUGUCAAUGUAGACUUUUAAUAUGUAAUAUAAAGAUUGCAGGUUAAAAUGUCAGACCUUCCCUGUAAGAGUGUUUGUUGCCGUGGCUCCCCCUUUGUCCCUUCCCCUCCUGACAAUAGCAUCUUGUUCAAAGAUAAGAAAGUUACAGUUUUGGCUGGGCUUGGUGGCUCACGCCUGUAAUCCCAGCACUUUGGGAGGCCGUGGCAGGCAGAUCACCUGAGGUCAGGAGUUCGAGACCAGCCUGGCCAACAUGGUGAAACGCUGUCUCUACUAAAAAAAAAAUACAAAAAUUAGCUGGGUGUAGUGGCGCAUGACUGUAGUUCCACCUACUCACAAGGCUGAGGCAGGAGAAUUGCCUGGACCUGGGAGGUGGAGGUUGCAGUGAGCAGAGAUCACGCCAAUGCACUCCAGCCUGGGUGACAGAGCGAGACUCCGUCUCACAAAAAAAAAAAAGGAAAGAAAGUUGGAGUUUUUUAGUCUCUACACUGCUGGCAGAGGCAGGGGAUGGGAGCUGGUAGAAAAGAGAAAACAAUUAGUUGGUUUGCCUCUAAAAUUUUGCAAAGAGAUGAAUCUAAGUAAAAGUAAUUCUGGGUAAUAAUAUGGUUCUUGAAUAAAAACUGAAAUUUUCAAAAUAGAAAACAUUGCAUCAUAAACAUAUUAAAUCCAGUUGGCUUAUUGGUUUCAUUUAAAUGCCAGAGAUUUCAUUACUGUAGAGGAAAUGUCUUAUAGCUCUUCUAUUUAAACUUUGGUUGGGCUCUUAAUUUUUAAAGAGGUAGGAUAAUUAAGACUCAUUAUGAGUGUGACUUUGUAACUUGGAAGUACUAUCUUCACAUUUCAAGAUAUUUAAGGAUUGCUUUAGAAUAAACAAAUGUAUUAUGUGAAUUAAUUGAUUGUACCUUUAUACACAAAGCACAUAAGUACUUGUGUAAACUUAUACUCUGCUUGGUGAUGUUAGGAAAGCCUGAUGGAUGUUACACACCAGUUAGUAGAUGGGUAGUGUUGGAUGAGAGCCCAAAAAUGGCUCUUUAUUGUCAUUCUUUAGGAUUACAACACAGUUUAUGUAGUCUCACUUGGCCCUUUCCAAUACAAAUAAGGCCUGUGUAUGUUCUCCCUAUGUAUUGCUAAUGAAGAAAUGAAAACUUAGAGAUAUCACAUGACUAUGGAAGACAGCUACUCAAGAGAACUAAGGUUCUGUGUCCUCAGAAUGAAAUGGAAGUGACAGAUAUGAUGAAUUUACUUUUUAAAAAUUUUAAAAACUCUAGAAUACAUCUUAUAUUUUGCCUGUAAAAUAGACCUGUCUUUUAAAACUUACUGCCAUCUUGAUUUAUUUUAUGCAAAGUUGAUUUUACACAACUCAAAGCCAAAAUUUACCUCUUCAUUUUUUUUUUUUUUUUAAAUAAAGGAGGGUGUCAUUGUGUUACUCGUGCUGGCCUCAACUUCCUGACCUGGGUUCAAGUGAUUUUCCCAUCUCAGCCUCCUGAGUAGCUGGGACUACAAGCAUGUGCCAUCUUGCCUGGCUCUAUCUUAUGUCUAUACAUUCAUUUCAAUGUAUAAGAAUCAAAGUAGAGAUAGUGAAAUAGCCUAAAUGCAGCAGUUGAAUAAACGAGUUGAUAAAUUUUUAUCAAUGAUUACAUCUUUUUUUCUUUUCUUCCUCUAUGCAUAU